rnacentral:lncRNA from 1 species
AAGUCUUGCACGCGGCGGCCGUUGCAGUGCAGUCGGAGGGAAGGUGCACCUGCUGGGCCUCCUGACCCUCCCCUAAGGACCCUCCUCGGAUGGCAUAGGUUGGAGCUGCUGUUUUCAGUGGCUGCUCCAGACAUGUGUCUCUUCUCUUGUCUGUACCAGCUGUACCUAGAAGGAAGAGAAAAGAGAAAAGCUGGCAGAGGCAGCAGAAAGAAGGCAGAAGGAGGCGGCGACUCGGGGGAUUUUGGACAUCCAGUCAGUGGAGGCAAAAAAGAAGAAGAAGGAACAGUUAGAAAAGCAGAUGGCGACAUCGGGGCCACCAACGGCAGGGGGACUUAGAUGGACGGUGUCAUGAAGUAUAUCAGACCUGGAAGAGAAUCCUGCCACCAACUCCGGCAACUGCAGUCAAUGGCUUUCAGCUGAUGUCUCCUCUUAACACACAUUAAGAGUCAGACUGUGUCAUUAGUGCCCUUUCGUGCAAUCCUGACACUAAAUAUACUAAAUGUACAAAAAUAUUGGUAAUAUUUUUAUUUUCAAACUUACUAAAUAACCUAGCUUUUCAUUCUAUUCCACUUUCCCUACAUCUAUUUUCUCUUCUGCAGGAAGUAACUUUGCAGUUUUUGUAGUUAAAAUAUGGAUCCAAAAGGUAUAUAUGCAUGGCGUGUCCUGGUCGUACAUAUAUCUCCAGUGUUGAGUUUGCUGCUAUACCUCUGCAUUAUAAGUAAUCUUGCUCCCUAGAGUCAUGUGGCAUAGCCUGUGGUCUAUCUCUGUCUCACUAAAUAGGAAGACUUCAGCUUCCAGACUUAGUGCCUUUAAGCUGAUCAUCAGGGAAAAUCCUGAAGACGCAUUUGAAGGACUUCAGGUGAAGGAAGUCUUUAUUUUUAUAACCCACUAAGAAAUGAAUAUUUGUAGGCAAAUGUUAACUCUCUGCUAAUUUAUUUUGUGUACCUAAGGCAUAUCAUAUUAACGUGAAGUUACAUGUCCGUAGGACGUCAGCUCAGUGACCUGCUGAUGAGUCCUGCUAGAAGCAUGAAGGUAUGUGUAGUGAAGGGAUGAGGCCAACUGAGAACCAGGUUGGAGAAAAUGAGUGAUAAUAGAUGUGUUCAAAUUCCACAAGCAUUUUUAUUCUUCUGUAUUUAUCAAAGAACAGUUGUAAGAUCUAUACAAACAUGGUGUUGCCAAUGAAAGUGUGAAAGAAACAUGUGAGUUCUGUACUUGGAAAGUCCAAGCCUGUCAAAGCACGCUUGUGAUUUAUGACAUUGUCGCUUGUUUUCUUCUUACUACGUAAUAAGCGAAGAUGCAAGUGUGCAAGGCUGCUGCUGCUAUCGAUGCCAAGACAUUCAGUGCUAACAUCCAGUCCUUACCUUAGAAUUUAUAGAUUCUAGCCAGUCAGAAAUCUCAGUGAAUUAGGCAAAGUCACAGCCAUAAGAAGAAACUGAGCCAUUGGCUUGUCUGUUCCUCUCCCAAGGUAUCUGACGGUGUGUCACACAUGCUCUUUUUAAAGAAUUGGAGCUAUAAUAUAGGUCUCAUAAUGACUGAAGUAUUACUUUUCUGUCGCUCAAAAUGUUUCAUGAAUAGCUAGGUAAGACAUAGAAUUGUAUCAUCUCAGUUUCCUUCAUUUAGAGAUGGUGAUAUUUUUCUUCCUAAAUGAUAGUGAUAUCAAUAAGCUGACUUUUAGAAAUAAUUCUUAGCUCAUUUUGGUAAGUAAUAUUUCUGACAUAGGAAAGCUGACUCAGCUGAAUGGGGAGAGAGGCAGCACACACCAGCCCUCACCAUGGGAAGCCCUCCUCCUGUUAGAACAGACAUCUCGUUCUCUUCCCUUCAUCGUAGACCAUGGCUCGUGCAAAGAGAAGGCUUGGUUCAGUGGGCAGUGCUACAUUUAUUACGUAAGGGCAUGUCUAGAGGCACAAGUGCCAUACAGGUUUAUUCCUUGCUUGGAAUAAUUAGGAUACACUGCUUUUGGCAUCUGUGGGCUCCCUCUGCUGUUCCAAGGCCCUGUGCAUGGCUAUGGCCUGCCCCACCGAUAUAAGCCUUCUCCCAAGGCCACACAUGUCGUAGGCACUAAAUGGUGAUUUGAAUCUCAUGAAUGUGAUUGAAAAGAGGAAGCAGGAUGCUUGAUAAGAACCUGGGAAAUGGCUAUUUGAAAUCAUAUAUGCGUCUAAACAUCUUUCUUAGGUUGUGGAUAGUGGUGUAGAGGUGAGUUUUCUCUAACUUAAGACUUAAAUAACAAAACAUAAUAUUGAAUAUAUCUUCCAAAUCUUAUGGCAAAAUUGGUAGAACAUAAGAAAAUCCAUCAGAUGCAGAAAGUUAACCAACAUAUGCAAGCUUCAGUCUUAAUUGUAAUUCUGAAACUGAUACAGCUGGUGAUAAAGAGUUAAAUAUAUCAUUACAGAAGGGCUCUGUGACUGGUUGCAUGUUUUGGAAACAUCUGUAAAUGGUUUUUUUUAUCUAGUUUGUGUUAUGAUUAUAUCUGGAAUGUGAUUUAUUAGUUUUCUAAUAUAUUUUGAGCCCAAUGUUAUGUAUUCUACAUUGUCUUUGGGUAUAUGAACAUACAUCUUCCUAUACAAAAGUUUCCUUUGGCCAUGUCUUUAAGUAAAAUGUUUCUACUCCAUCUUAAACAAAUUGUGACUUGUCUUCACACACAGAGACGCAUCCAUGUCUCUGGGGUUGAUAACGGAAAGGGAAACAAUGGCUGCCUGGAGAAGGCAUGUUUAUCAUCCUGGAAAGAAGAAAUGUUAUUAUGUUGUUAUUAUUCUUGCUUUUAGAUUAAAAGGUAAAGCACUGUGGAAAGGCUCUCUGCAUAAUCCCAGAACCAUAAACAUUUACAUAAAAUUUGAAUUUGUUUAUCCAAAAAGUUGGCUUAUUUUCAUUGUUAAGAAUUAUACUGUGUCCUUGGAAGAUGAAAAGCAUACCUUGUCAUUUUUGAAUAAAGUAUAUAAUUUAACAGAUUGGCAAGA